rnacentral:rRNA from 1 species
UACGUAGGGUGCAAGCGUUAAUCGGAAUUACUGGGCGUAAAGCGUGCGCAGGCGGUUAUGUAAGACAGAUGUGAAAUGCCCGGGCUUAACCUGGGAACUGCAUUUGUGACUGCAUGGCUAGAGUUGGCAGAGGGGGGUAGAAUUCCACGUGUAGCAGUGAAAUGCGUAGAUAUGUGGAGGAACACCGAUGGCGAAGGCAGCCCCUGGGUCAAGACUGACGCUCAUGCACGAAAGCGUGGGAGCAAACAGG